GCACCCGUAGCUCAGCUGGAUAGAGCGUUAGACUCCGGCUCUAAAGGUCGCAGGUUCGAUUCCUGUCGGGUGUACCA
rnacentral:tRNA from 1 species